CCUACGGGGGGCAGCAGUGGGGAAUAUUGGGCAAUGGGCGCAAGCCUGACCCAGCAACGCCGCGUGAGGGAAGAAGGCUCUCGGGUUGUAAACUUCUUUUGUCAAGGACGAGAAGACGACGGUACCUGUCGAAUAAGCCACGGCUAACUACGUGACAGCAGCCGCGGUAAUAAGUAGGUGGCAGGCGUUGUCCGGAUUUACUGGGUGUAAAGGGCGUGUAGUCGGGUUGACAAGUCAGAUGUGAAAUCCGGGGGCUUAACCACCGAAUUGCAUUUGGAACUGUUGGUCUUGAGUAUCGGAGAGGCAGGCGGAAUUCCUAGUGUAGCAGUGAAAUGCGUAGAUAUUAGGAAGAACACCAGUGGCGAAGGCAGCCUGCUGGACGACAACUGACGGUGAGGCGCGAAAGCGUGGGGAGCAAACAGGAUUAGAUACCCUAGUAGUC
rnacentral:rRNA from 1 species